UGCUGACGAGUGGCGGACGGGUGAGUAACGCGUAGGAAUCUGCCCAUUUGUGGGGGAUACCAGUUGGAAACGACUGUUAAUACCGCAUACUAUCUGAGGAUUAAAGGUGGCCUUUGUGCUGCCGCAGAUGGAUGAGCCUGCGUUAGAUUAGCUUGUUGGUGGGGUAAAGGCCUACCAAGGCUACGAUCUAUAGCUGAUUUGAGAGGAUGAUCAGCCACAUUGGGACUGAGACACGGCCCAAACUCCUACGGGAGGCAGCAGUGGGGAAUAUUGGACAAUGGAGGAAACUCUGAUCCAGCAAUGCCAUGUGUGUGAAGAAGGCUCUAGGGUUGUAAAGCACUUUAGUUGGGGAGGAAAGCUUAUGAGUUAAUAGCU
rnacentral:rRNA from 1 species